rnacentral:rRNA from 1 species
GUAGGUGGCAAGCGUUGUCCGGAAUUAUUGGGCGUAAAGCGCGCGCAGGCGGGUUCUUUAAGUCUGAUGUGAAAGCCCACGGGCUCAACCGUGGAGGGUCAUUGGAAACUGGAGAACUUGAGUACAGAAGAGGAAAGCGGAAUUCCACGUGUAGCGGUGAAAUGCGUAGAGAUGUGGAGGAACACCAGUGGCGAAGGCGGCUUUCUGGUCUGUAACUGACGCUGAGGCGCGAAAGCGUGGGGAGCAAACAGGAUUAGAUACCCUGGUAGUCCACGCCGUAAACGAUGAGUGCUAAGUGUUAGGGGGUUUCCGCCCCUUAGUGCUGCAGCUAACGCAUUAAGCACUCCGCCCGGGGAGUACGGCCGCAAAGGCUG